rnacentral:rRNA from 1 species
AACGAACGCUGGCGGCAUGCCUAACACAUGCAAGUCGAACGAGACCUUCGGUUCUAGUGGCGCACGGUUGCGUAACGCGUGGUAACCUGCCCUUAGGUUCGGAAUAACUCCCCGAAAGGGGUCCUAAUACCGGCUAAUGUCUUCGGCCCAAAGCUUUUUCGCCUUUGGAUGGGCCCGCGUUGGAUUAGCUAGUUGGUAGGGGAAAAGCCUACCAAGGCGACGAUCCAUAGCUGGUCUGAGAGGAUGAUCAGCCACACUGGGACUGAGACACGGCCCAGACUCCUACGGGAGGCAGCAGUGGGGAAUAUUGGACAAUGGGCGAAAGCCUGAUCCAGCAAGGCCGCGAGAGUGAUGAAGGACUUAGGGUUGUAAAGCUCUUUUACACGGGAGGAUAAUGACAGUACCGGGAGAAUAAGCACCGGCUAACUCCGUG